AAGUUUACAAAGGUUUUUGAAGGGUUUACAAAAGUUUUUAAAGGUGUUACAAGUUCUUUAAAAUGGUUUUUAAGGAUUUACAAGGGUUUUUAAACGGUUUUAGAAGUUUACAAAAGUUUUUAUUAAAUGAUUUAUCACGGUUAUANNNNNNNNNNAUGAUUUAUCACGGUUAUAAGGGGUUUAAAGGGAUUUACAAGUGUUUA
rnacentral:lncRNA from 1 species